GGGCGAGUGGCGAAAUGGCAGACGCGUGCGACUCAAAAUCGCAUUCCAGUGAUGGAGUGGAGGUUCAAGUCCUCUCUCGCCCACCA
rnacentral:tRNA from 1 species